GUGAGGAAUUUUCCGCAAUGGGCGAAAGCCUGACGGAGCAAUGCCGCGUGAAGGAUGAAGGCCUAUGGGUUGUAAACUUCUUUUCUUAGAGAAGAAUAUUGACGGUAUCUGAGGAAUAAGCAUCGGCUAACUCUGUGCCAGCAGCCGCGGUAAGACAGAGGAUGCAAGCGUUAUCCGGAAUGAUUGGGCGUAAAGCGUCUGUAGGUGGCGUCAAAAGUCUACUGUCAAAGAUCAGGGCUUAACCCAGGGCGGGCAGGAGAAACUCUGAGGCUAGAGUUUGGUAGGGGCAGAGGGAAUUCCCGGUGGAGCGGUGAAAUGCGUAGAGAUCGGGAGGAACACCAAAGGCGAAAGCACUCUGCUGGGCCACAACUGACACUGAGAGGCGAAAGCGAGGGGAGCAAAAGGGAUUAGAAACCCGUGUAGUCC
rnacentral:rRNA from 1 species